rnacentral:snRNA from 1 species
AUUGCUUCUCAGUCUUUGGGCUAAGGUCAAGUGCAGUAUCUGUCAGUGUAAUUUCUGAUAUGUCCUCCAAUAAACUGUCUGGGGGACAAAUGGAACUAAC